rnacentral:rRNA from 2 species
GACGAAGGAUGCAAGCGUUAUCCGGAUUCAUUGGGUUUAAAGGGUGCGUAGGCGGACUGAUAAGUCAGUGGUGAAAUCUCUCAGCUUAACUGAGAAACUGCCAUUGAUACUGUUAGUCUAGAGUAUAGAUGACGUUGGCGGAAUAUGACAUGUAGUGGUGAAAUACUUAGAUAUGUCAUAGAACACCGAUUGCGAAGGCAGCUAACGAAACUAUAACUGACGCUGAGGCACGAAAGUGCGGGGAUCAAACAGG